rnacentral:rRNA from 1 species
GUUGAUCCUGGCUCAGGAUGAACGCUAGCGGCAGGCUUAACACAUGCAAGUCGAGGGGCAUCGGGAGUAGCAAUACUGCCGGCGACCGGCGCAAGGGUGCGUAACGCGUGAGCAACAUGCCCGUAUCAGGGGGAUAAUCCAUGGAAACGUGGUCUAAUACCCCAUAGUAAUUAUGUAAGGCAUCUUAUAUAAUUUAAAGCUUUGGUGGAUACGGAUUGGCUCGCGUGACAUUAGCUGGAUGGUAAGGUAACGGCUUACCAUGGCUACGAUGUCUAGGGGUUCUGAGAGGAAGGUCCCCCACACUGGAACUGAGACACGGUCCAGACUCCUACGGGAGGCAGCAGUGAGGAAUAUUGGACAAUGGAUGGAAAUCUGAUCCAGCCAUGCCGCGUGCAGGAAGACGGCCCUAUGGGUUGUAAACUGCUUUUGUAUGGGAGCAAUAAGGGCUACGUGUAGUCCGAUGAGAGUACCAUACGAAUAAGCACCGGCUAACUCCGUGCCAGCCGCCGC